rnacentral:lncRNA from 1 species
UUUUCUUUUUCUUUUUUUCUUCUCUUCUUCCCUUCUUCUUCUUUCUUCUUUCUUCUCCUCCCGCAACGUCACCCGCGUCGGAAAGGGGCCGGGCCAUGGCGGACACAUGAAGGGGCCACAUGAAGGGGCCGGGCCACCGCUGCCAGCGGCCGCAGCAGCCGCGGCGGCCGUAGAUGGCCCAUGGAGAAUUCUUCUCCUCCCGCGAGACCGUCGGCGCCGGAAAGGGGCCGGGCCGCGGAGGACGCAGGAGGAUGGUGGGUCAUGGCCGGCGACAGCCGCAGGACGCCACGACCGCCCUUCUUCCUCUUCUUCGGCGCCUCCCCACCGUGGGACAAGGGCGGGGGUAUUCUCGGCGGCGCAGCAAAGCGAGGGGGCUCGGAAGGGGGCUGGGGUGGGGGUAUUUCCGGCAGUGCGGCCGCGGUAGGA